UCCGACUCCUCCAUUUUUAUUCUGCAAUCUAAGGAAAUGAAAUCUGCAAAGUCCAUGGAACUAGCUUAGUCUUUAUUUGAGACUGAAGUCUUCACGGCAAGCGUUUUCUCGGCGUAUCAUUGACCAAUUUCUGUUUGAUUCUCUCUAUUUUGUUUCCCGAUGAGCAUUUUAUGUGCUGUGUCAUACACCGAUUUCUCUUCGAUUCUUCCCAGUUUGCUUGCAAAGUUGAUUCCGAGGCAGAGAUGAAGGGCACAGAGGCUAGCCAUCACAAGCUCUCAAACGGAAGCUCUUCGAUCAAUCUGAACAUCACAAGCUCUCCAAUCGAAGGAGACUAUAACUCACACCCAGAAGCUAGGAAGGGAUAUCAAAGGAAGCGAAAGCAGUGGAAGACCUAGCCUUCUUUUUCUUAUUAAGAGAUCCAAGACCAUUCUUCUCCAUCAUAGAUCCUUUAUGUGCCUUUUGAAGAGGUUUUGGUAUAAAUUGUAUCAAUUUGGAGGAUUUCACUUGACGUUUCAAUCAGAAGACGACGGCCCAAGCGCCCAGAGGCCGACGGCUGUAUCUGAAGAUCAGAGCUGCAAGGCAGUGUUAGAGAGGGUAAAAUUUUUGGACAAUCCGUCAAAAGAAGAGUCAGCUUCAUGUUUUACGGAUGUUAUGACUCAGAAUUUCAAUACUUUAUUUAAAGAUCUUAUUCAAAUGAUUGUAAGCGGAUAUUGAUACUGAGCGCUGUAUUCUUUGCUUUCGUUUUGCAGCUUACGAUGUCAGGGGAUCACCGUUCUCGCAUAACAAGAUUGGUCAGUAUUUCUACCUUGUAGUGACUGGAAUCUGAACUGGUGAGUGAGAAGUUGAAAGGCUUACCUUAUGGUAUCCAUUUGGUCAAGUAAUACUUUGAGGUCUAAGGGAGGUGAGUUGUCGAACCAUAACUUGUUGGCAAUGCCGGUAAGACUUGAGCAAAAGGACAAUGUUGACGCUCUUGUACAGAAGUUUCUUCGGCAAAUUUUGUGCUGAGGCGUUCCUCGGUAUCAUCGUCGGUCUAGAACAGAGGUGAGUUGAGGAAGACUAGAACUGGGUCGACCGAUCUUCAUCGACAAGGAACCGUAUCAGCCAGCAAUAACUGGAGGUUUAAGCGGAUUAGUGUGAUAUCAGGUUUAUUGCAGAGGCAAACUGAAGAGAAUACGAAAUGAACACAUACAGUUUUGUAAUCAGAUCAGAUUAUAUAUAGAAAAAGAUUUAAAUAUAUGUUAAUAUUUAAUUAUACACUCAAUUUGAGCAUGUUUCAUUUGAAAAAAAUGCUCAUAUUAAAUUGCUUUUAUA